GAUGAACGCUGGCGGCGUGCUUAACACAUGCAAGUCGAACGAAGCACCUUGAUUUGAUUCUUCGGAUGAAGAUCUUGGUGACUGAGUGGCGGACGGGUGAGUAACGCGUGGGUAACCUGCCUCAUACAGGGGGAUAACAGUUAGAAAUGACUGCUAAUACCGCAUAAGACCACAGCACCGCAUGGUGCACGGGUAAAAACUCCGGUGGUAUGAGAUGGACCCGCGUCUGAUUAGGUAGUUGGUGGGGUAACGGCCUACCAAGCCGACGAUCAGUAGCCGACCGGGGAGGGUGACCGGCCACAUUGGGACUGAGACACGGCCCAAACUCCGACGGGAGGCAGCAGUGGGGAAUAUUGCACAAGGGGGGAAACCGUGAUGCAGCGACGCCGCGUGAGCGAUGAAGUAUUUCGGUAUGUAAAGCUCUAUCAGCAGGGAAGAAAAUGACGGUACCUGACUAAGAAGCACCGGCUAAAUACGUG
rnacentral:rRNA from 1 species